UACGUAGGUGGCGAGCGUUGUCCGGAUUUACUGGGCGUAAAGAGCUCGUAGGCGGUUUGUCGCGUCUGCUGUGAAAUCCCGAGGCUCAACCUCGGGCCUGCAGUGGGUACGGGCAGACUGGAGUGCGGUAGGGGAGAAUGGAAUUCCUGGUGUAGCGGUGGAAUGCGCAGAUAUCAGGAGGAACACCGAUGGCGAAGGCAGUUCUCUGGGCCGUAACUGACGCUGAGGAGCGAAAGCGUGGGGAGCGAACAGA
rnacentral:rRNA from 1 species